CGUCGUCAUUUUUCCUGCGUUGCCGCUUAGCUCUAGGCUUCUAAUGUGUUUCGAAUCUUAUUUGGACAUGGUAAGAACACAAAAACCCGGCAACUCGCACAUCUGGAUCGCAGUAAGCGCUAUCCUUUGAUCCCAUUUUGUAUUCCAAUUUGAUGCGUGGAAGCUAUUAGCUUGAUUUCGAUCUCAUACAAACGACGUAUACAUCAUCUGCCAUUACCAACUGGUUUUAAAUGGCUUUGAGGAAGAUAAUGUGGCAAAAUCUUUCUGGAGAUUGUAGUAGAUGCAUUUCGCACUUCAGAUAUUAUAGCUCCCGAAUUGACUGGAAAAAGCUGCGGCCUAUGAUACUGAAGAGAAUAGAAAAUCGUGCUAAGGACUAUCCUGUUCGGGACAUGGUUCCCGUGGCUCAAGAGGUCCUCAAGGCCAGAAUGCUUCUUAUUCAAGGCGUGUCCACUCUCAUCCAAGUGAUUCCAGUAUUGGCGUGCAAGUUCUGUCCGGAAGUAUAUAUCGGAGAGAAAGGUCAUUUAAUUCAGACUUGCUGGGGUUACAGACGUGGUGCUAAGAAUCGGGUUCAUGUGUGGAUUACUGGUGGUUUAAAUGAUAUACUCGUUCCAGUAGAGACAUUUCGCCUGAAUAAUAUGUUCCAAAAGAUUAUUAAACAUGACCAAAGAUUCGAUUUUGACCGUGUUCCUGCUGUUGUUGAGCUCUGCAGGCAGGCAGGUGCUGAUCAAACUGCUGAGAAUUUGUACUCUAGUACAAGGACUUUGGACAGUGUCUCUAGUGGUCUUGAUAGAGCUGAUUCUCUGUCACCUGAGGAUCUUAAGUUGGUAGCAAAUGGGACUUUGAGAGCAUGGGAGACUCUUAGAUCAGGGGUGCAAAAGUUGUUGUUAGUUUAUCCAGCAAAAGUUUGCAAGCAUUGUUCAGAAAUUCAUGUUGGGCCAUCUGGACACAAGGCUCGCCUUUGUGGUGUGUUUAGGUAUGAAAGUUGGCGUGGAUCACACUUCUGGAAGAAGGCAGCUGUAGAUGAUCUGGUGCCUCCAAAGAUUGUGUGGCGGCAUCGGCCUCAAGAUCCUCCAGUUCUCUUAAAUGAAGGGCGGGAUUUUUUUGGACACGCACCAGCAGUGGUGGAUCUAUGCACAAAGGCUGGUGCUAUUGCACCAAAAAAGUAUUAUUGCAUGAUGAAAAUUCAGGGUUUGUCAGCAACAUUUAAAUACUGAAGAUCUCUGCUGAGUCAAUAUGUAGUGGUUCGGGCAUCAGGGUAUGCUAAUUUGGCGAUUAGAGCCUCUACAGCUUUUAUCACUCAUCUAAGUUGGAGCCCAGACAGACUCAUGAUCAAGUUGCUUGAAUGGCUCACUGUUGAAACCAGCUUCAGGGAUCAAAACAAAUGCUGGCUGGGUUCACCUCUGUCUUCAUGAUGUUGAAAUAAGACAUGAAUAGCUGUUGCAAUUCUACUUUUUUGUAGGAUACAACAGUAAUCAGUGAACGUACAAGCUCGAAGAGGACAGAAAUGGCAACUAAUUGAUUUUGGAAACUUGGUUUUUUAUUUUAUGUUAUUUUAUUUUUUAACUGAUUAAAGGAAAUUCAUGCAAAAAGGAGAAAAUGCUUAACUAAUAUAAGCAUAUUCUGUAUUAUCAUUAGCAGAUUACAUUUCGAGUUGCAUCUAUCAUGAAGGUUUCCACUUUCCAGCACUUUUGCGCUGCUUGAAUUCUGAAGCUUACCUAUCAACUCAAACAUUUUGAGCUUCCUUCACCUGAAAUAUCUGUGGAAAAUGCUUAUUUUCA